rnacentral:rRNA from 1 species
AUUGAACGCUGGCGGCAGGCCUAACACAUGCAAGUCGAGCGGAUGAGGAAAGCUUGCUUUUCGAUUCAGCGGCGGACGGGUGAGUAAUGCCUAGGAAUCUGCCUGUUAGUGGGGGAUAACUCGGGGAAACUCGGGCUAAUACCGCAUACGUCCUACGGGAGAAAGUGGGGGAUCUUCGGACCUCACGCUAACAGAUGAGCCUAGGUCGGAUUAGCUAGUAGGUGAGGUAAUGGCUCACCUAGGCGACGAUCCGUAACUGGUCUGAGAGGAUGGGAAGGCACACUGGAACUGAGACACGGUCCAGACUACUACGGGAGGCAGCAGUGGGGAAUAUUGGACAAUGGGCGAAAGCCUGAUCCAGCCAUGCCGCGUGUGUGAAGAAGGUCUUCGGAUUGUAAAGCACUUUAAGUUGGGAGGAAGGGUAUUCACCUAAUACGUGGGUACUUUGACGUUACCAACAGAAUAAGCACCGGCUAACUCUGUGCCAGCAGCCGCCGUAAAAC